AUCGACCAAGACGAGCUCGCUCUCCCCCCGUAUCCUUCCCCUCCCUCCCUCCCUCCCAGCGGCGGCCGCCUCGUCGGCGGCGAGCCUCGUCGGACGCGCUCCUCGAAGGCGUCGGGCACCUCCCCGCGCGGCCCCUGGGGGAUCCUUGCAGAGCUUGAGUACGGACAGUCCUGCGGGGUUCAUCAUCACCAGCUGUUAAAGAGUGAUUCAGUGAUAAGAGACCAGAAGAGGUGGUAGUGGUAAGCUUGGAGGAGAUGUACCGUGGUGGGCUUGACCGCUUCAAGAAAGCUCAGGCCUUGGAGCCCUUCUCGGUGCAGCAGUCUGGUUCCGGCACAAAGAGUGUGCCCGCGGCGGUUAAAGUGCAGCCAGCUCCAUUGGUGCCGCCGCAAAGCUCACAUCUUGGUCCCAGCCAGAGUCAGCAUGCUACGCAGAGUGCUGGCUCAAGCAUCGCCGGGCAAGAGGCUGCUGGGGCUCCCAGACCAGCCGUGACGCAGUUUGGUGGUGGGCAGUCGACAUGGCAACCGCCGGACUGGGCAAUUGAGCCGCGUCCUGGGGUUUACUAUCUUGAGGUGAUGAAGGAUGGGAAUGCCAUCGAUAGGAUCAAUCUGGACAAGAAGAGGCAUAUAUUUGGGAGGCAGGUGCCUGCUUGCGAGAUUGUCUUGGACCAUCAGUCUGUCUCACGCCAACAUGCUGCUGUCGUUCCACACAAAAAUGGAAGCAUCUAUGUUAUCGAUUUAGGAUCUGUUCAUGGUACAUUUGUUGCGAAUGAGAGAUUAACCAAGGACAACCCUGUUGAGCUUGAAGUUGGACAGUCACUUCGUUUUGCUGCAUCAACCAGAGCAUAUGUUCUACGAAAGAACACAGCUACUUUUUUCCCCACUCAUAGUCUCCCGUCAGAUGUGAGUUUGCCGUCUCCUCCAGACUCUGACGAUGAAGAUGCCGUUGUGGCAUACAAUACAAUACUCAAUCGCUAUGGUGUUAGCAAAUCAGAUGUGCCAUUGAGGAGAAAAGGUUCUUCAGGGGAUGCUUCUGCUUCUGCUGUAAACGACGACAACCAGGCGAUUGGUAGACCGUGGAAGAGAAGUAAAAAACGGAGAGUGUCAUUUAGAGAUCAGGUUGGUGGAGAGCUUAUUCAGGUGGUUGGGAUUUCUGAUGGAGCAGAUGUUGAAACUGAACCAGGCCCGGUAGGUGUGAAGGAAGGCAGUCUUGUUGGGAAGUACGAGUCUCUUGUACAGGUUACUGUCAUACCAAAAGGCAAGGAGCAAACUUCACAAAAGGACAGUAGUGCCUCCCACAGUACCGGGGUAACAGAUAAGCUGCAACAGAUGCUUGACAAAGUAAAAAGCACAACAAGAGGCGGUAUGUAUGAUGACCUUUACGGGGAUUCUGUUCCGGCAAAACUGGGCUCAUCAUGGGCGUAUAAAUCAGAUGGCCAGCCAGAGCAAGUCAAAGUUGUUGAUGAAAAGAAGUCUAGCAAGGCAAAUUCAGCUGAUGAUAGUGAUGAUGACUUGUUUGGCGACUAGUUAUUUUGUCACAUUUCCUUCCAGUUAGUAGUGAAUUGCCUUGAUGAUUCCAAACGCAUGGCAUGGCAGCAGAAAUGUUAUUUUUUGUCUUGGGUAUUGUGCUUUUUGUUCUGCUACAUGAUUGGUUGUAUCCUGCUGUGAAUCAAGGGCACCGGUUCCUUCAUUAUCAUGCUUUUCUCGACGAGUUUUCAACACAGCUGAAGCAUCUUGCAUAUCUCUCUACCAUACUAUGCUUUUUUGAAUCCCGUUCUUGCCAACACAACCUUUGUAACCUUACAGGAUCUAUACGCCAGCUGAAUCAUGUCGAAGUCAUCUCAUUAUCCCGUAGCUUUUGUCUUAGUACCUCCCUCUUAGAUUCAUCGUUAUUUGAAAUUUCACAGCAUUUUUGGAGGGCACUGUCCACAAUUUGAUGCAGUUUCAUGCCUACCGCUUGUUUACAUUGUAUUUUUGUGAUUUAAAAGAAAGAGAGUAGAGUGAUUAAA